rnacentral:lncRNA from 1 species
CUCAAGGAAAAGCUCCGGUGGGGAGGACACAGCCCAGAGUGUCCUCCGGCUUCACCGUACAGAGGCCAAACCGUGCCGCUUCCCACUUUCUCCAAAACUUAGGGAUGGUGAGGGAAGUUAGAACAGUGGUUUCCGCUGAGGCAUGCGGGCAUGUUCUAUGCGAAGGAGCGCGAGGAAUCCCAGCAUCUCCAAGAUGUAAGCCACAUUCUGUGACCCACCUAUUUCCUGUUCUUUGAAUGGUGGCUUUUGAGAACAGUGCCUAAGGUCAGUACUAGUCCAGGCUUAAUCUUCUAGGUUAAGUCUCCUCCCAGACAUAUUGCAAACCUGAGCCACAAGCUGGAAAAACUUCAAGCAGCCAACCACACCUAUGUGUAAAAAAAUUGUUAGUGUCUACAAAGGUCUGACUAUUUGAG